rnacentral:piRNA from 1 species
UAACAAAAUGAUCGUUGUAAUUGUGAC